rnacentral:lncRNA from 1 species
GCUAAGUCACUCCUUGUCAAUGUUGGAUUCUCCACGUAAAGUUCAUCCAACUUCACUUUUUGUUCUGGUGUAAGAACACUCUCAUCAAAUGGUGGCUCUAUAUAUGGCUCAUCCUCUUCUUCUUGUGGCCAAUCAUUGAAUUCCAUGGCCAACAGCUCCUAAAUCACCAAAAAUAAAUAAAUCUUGUUAGUUAAAAAAAAGUGUAGAGAAAAUGCUCUAGACUAAAAACUAAUCCUAAAUCUUUAAGUAGCGCAAUUGCUCCCCGGCAGCGGCGCCAACUUGAUUACAAGGUUAUUUAACCCGAUAAUUUAACUGAAGUAAAGUAUAUGCGGGAUCGAUCAUAAGGAGCAAUGGUACACUAAAGACUUGCGAGAGUCGUUCUUAGCUAAAGCUGAAAAGACUUGUUUUUUGGUUUUUCAGUUAUUAAAGUUUUA